GACGAACGCUGGCGGCGUGGAUUAGGCAUGCAAGUCGAACGGUAUCAUCCUUUCGGGGGUGAGAGAGUGGCGAACUGGUGAGUAACACGUAGGUUAUCUACCCUCAAGACGGGGACAACCCAGGGAAACUUGGGCUAAUACCGGAUGUGAGCAACUUUUUAGUUGUUUGAAAGGUGGCGUAAGCUGUCGCUUGGGGAUGAGCCUGCGUCCUAUUAGUUAGUUGGUGAGGUAACGGCUCACCUAGGCAAUGAUAGGUAGGCGGCCUUAACGGGUGGUCGCCCACACUGGGAUUGAGAUACGGCCCAGACUCCUACGGGAGGCAGCAGUCGAGAAUAGUCUACAAUGGUCGGAAGACUGAUAGUGCGACGCCGCGUGAACGAUGAAUCCCUUCGGGGUGUAAAGUUCUUUUAUAUGUGAGCAGUGCUUCUUAUAUUAACAGUAUGGGGAAGAGAUAUUAGCAUAUGAAUAAGCAACGGCUAACUCCGUGCCAGCAGCCGCGGUAAA
rnacentral:rRNA from 1 species